GCAAUCAUCUAACAUGACACUACUGGACUCGAAGACAAGCUAUAAAGUUUUCAAGGCCAGAACUGAAACAAGACUUCCAUCUCCAACAUUAAGGAACCGCUCGCCCUCUCGAAAUUUUCUACUUACCUACAGUCCCUGCAACAAAUUACAUAUAUUAAUAGGACUUCGGUAUCCAAUACCCAAAUAGUAGUUGAUGGAACC
rnacentral:lncRNA from 1 species